rnacentral:rRNA from 1 species
UACGUAGGUGGCGAGCGUUGUCCGGAUUUACUGGGCGUAAAGGAUGCGUAGGCGGAUAUUUAAGUGAGAUGUGAAAUACCCGGGCUUAACUUGGGUGCUGCAUUUCAAACUGGAUAUCUAGAGUGCGGGAGAGGAGAAUGGAAUUCCUAGUGUAGCGGUGAAAUGCGUAGAGAUUAGGAAGAACACCAGUGGCGAAGGCGAUUCUCUGGACCGUAACUGACGCUGAGGCAUGAAAGCGUGGGUAGCAAACAGGAUUAGAUACCCUGGUAGUCCACGCCGUAAACGAUGAGUACUAGGUGUAGGAGGUAUCGACUCCUUCUGUGCCGCAGUUAACACAAUAAGUACUCCGCCUGGGAAGUACGAUCGCAAGAUUAAA